GUAACCUACCUAUAACAGGGGCAUAACACUGAGAAAUUGGUACUAAUUCCCCAUAAUAUUCGGAGAGGCAUCUCUCCGGGUUGAAGACUCCGGUGGUUAUAGAUGGACAUGCGUUGUAUUAGCUAGUUGGUGAGGUAACGGCUCACCAAGGCAACGAUACAUAGGGGGACUGAGAGGUUAACCC
rnacentral:rRNA from 1 species